AUUGAACGCUGGCGGAAUGCUUUACACAUGCAAGUCGAACGGCAGCACGGGGGCAACCCUGGUGGCGAGUGGCGAACGGGUGAGUAAUACAUCGGAACGUGCCCAGUCGUGGGGGAUAACGUAGCGAAAGCUACGCUAAUACCGCAUACGAUCUACGGAUGAAAGCGGGGGAUCGCAAGACCUCGCGCGAUUGGAGCGGCCGAUGGCAGAUUAGGUAGUUGGUGGGGUAAAGGCUCACCAAGCCGACGAUCUGUAGCUGGUCUGAGAGGACGACCAGCCACACUGGGACUGAGACACGGCCCAGACUCCUACGGGAGGCAGCAGUGGGGAAUUUUGGACAAUGGGCGCAAGCCUGAUCCAGCCAUGCCGCGUGAAGGACGAAGGCGCUCAGCGUUGUAAACUGCUUUUGUCAGGGAAGAAAUCCUCUAGGUUAAUACCCUUGGGGGGAUGACGGUACCUGAAGAAUAAGCACCGGCUAACUACGUGCCAGCA
rnacentral:rRNA from 1 species